rnacentral:rRNA from 1 species
UACGUAGGGGGCAAGCGUUGUCCGGAUUUAUUGGGCGUAAAGAGCGUGUAGGCGGCCAGGUAGGUCUGCUGUGAAAACUCGAGGCUUAACCUCGAGCUGUCGGCGGAAACCAUCUGGCUAGAGUCCGGAAGAGGAGAAUGGAAUUCCCGGUGUGGCGGUGAAAUGCGUAGAUAUCUGGAGGAACACCGGUGGCGAAGGCGGGUCUCUGGGCCGAUACUGACGCUGAGGAGCGAAAGCCAGGGGAGCAAACGGG